rnacentral:tRNA from 1 species
AGAAAAGUAAGCUAAAUUUAAGCUAAUGGGUUCAUACCCCAUCUAUAGAGAUCAAUCUCUCUUUUCUA